AGUGAACGCUGGCGGUAGGCCUAACACAUGCAAGUCGAACGGCAGCACAGUAAGAGCUUGCUCUUACGGGUGGCGAGUGGCGGACGGGUGAGGAAUACAUCGGAAUCUACUUUUUCGUGGGGAUAACGUAGGGAAACUUACGCUAAUACCGCAUACGACCUACGGGUGAAAGCAGGGGAUCUUCGGACCUUGCGCGAUUGAAUGAGCCGAUGUCGGAUUAGCUAGUUGGCGGGGUAAAGGCCCACCAAGGCGACGAUCCGUAGCUGGUCUGAGAGGAUGAUCAGCCACACUGGAACUGAGACACGGUCCAGACUCCUACGGGAGGCAGCAGUGGGGAAUAUUGGACAAUGGGCGCAAGCCUGAUCCAGCCAUACCGCGUGGGUGAAGAAGGCCUUCGGGUUGUAAAGCCCUUUUGUUGGGAAAGAAAAGCAGCAGGUUAAUACCCCGCUGUUCUGACGGUACCCAAAGAAUAAGCACCGGCUAACUUCG
rnacentral:rRNA from 1 species